rnacentral:tRNA from 1 species
GACAGUCUGGCCGAGCGGUUAAGGCGUUACACUCGAAUUUUUUGUCUUCUAUGAAUGUAGAGGGGCACUUUUUACAAGCGAAGCUAUGUAAUGGGUUUACCCGCACAGGUUCGAAUCCUGUGGCUGUCG